rnacentral:tRNA from 1 species
GCAGCCAUAGCUCAACUGGAUAGAGCAUCUGACUACGGAUCAGAAGGUUGGGGGUUCGACUCCUCCUGGCUGCACCA